rnacentral:rRNA from 1 species
ACACGCAUGACACACUGCAUAUCAAUAAGCGGAGGAAAAGUAAAUGCUGCUAUACCUACGCUUAGGAUGUUGACGAGACUGUCGAUCUCAUCUACACGCAUGACACACUGCAUAUCAAUAAGCGGAGGAAAAGAAACUAACAAGGAUUCCCUUAGUAACGGCGAGUGAAGCGGGAAGAGCUCAAAUUUGAAAUCUUCAAGGUUCUACCUUGACGAAUUGUAGUUUAUAGAAGUGUUUUCUGUUAGUGGAGUGGCAAAAGUUCUUUGGAAUAGGACAUCAUAGAGGGUGAGAAUCCCGUAUUUGGUCAUCCUCCUAGCGUUGUGAUACACUUUCAACGAGUCGGAUUGUUUGGGAAUGCAGUCCAAAAUGGGUGGUAAAUUUCAUCUAAAGCUAAAUAUUGGCGAGAGACCGAUAGCGAACAAGUACCGUGAGGGAAAGAUGAAAAGAACUUUGAAAAGAGAGUUAAACAGUACGUGAAAUUGUCAAAAGGGAAGCGUUUGACACCAGUGUUGUUUUUCCGAAAAUCAAUUACGAAUGUCUUGUUUUUAGAGGAGUUAUGACUUCAUCGGCUUGCUCCUUUCUUUACUGGAACUUUCUUAAUGCACUUUUCGGUUAACAAGUCAACAUCAAUUUCUUUUGUUGUAAAAGGGUAUGAGGAAGGUGGCUUUCUUUUCGGAGAAAGUGUUUAUAGCCUUGUAGCCUCUGCAAUCGGAGAGAUUGAGGUCUGCAGCGUAGAUCCUUCGGGGUUAGAUACGUUUGUGCUAAGUUAUAGCUUUUCAUAGACAACUUGUUGACUAUGUUAGUCUUGUAGCUUACUCGCUUAUGCUAUUUUACCUACGCUUAGGAUGUUGACGAGACUGUCGAUCUC